ACGUAGGGUGCGAGCGUUAAUCGGAAUUACUGGGCGUAAAGCGUGCGCAGGCGGUUCGCUAAGACAGGUGUGAAAUCCCCGGGCUUAACCUGGGAAUGGCGCUUGUGACUGGCGGGCUGGAGUACGGCAGAGGGGGGUGGAAUUCCACGUGUAGCAGUGAAAUGCGUAGAGAUGUGGAGGAACACCGAUGGCGAAGGCAGCCCCCUGGGCCGAUACUGACGCUAAGACGCGACAGCACGGGGAGCGAACGG
rnacentral:rRNA from 1 species